AAUCAACGCUGGCGGCGUGCCUCAGACAUGCAAGUCGAACGAUUAAAGCUCCCUUCGGGGAGUGCAUAAAGUGGCGCACGGGUGAGUAACACGUAAGUAAUCUACCUUCGAGUGGGGAAUAACGUUCGGAAACGAACGCUAAUACCGCAUAAUGCAGCGGCAUCUAUGAUGACAGUUGUUAAAGAUUUAUCGCUUGAAGAGGAGCUUGCGGCAGAUUAGCUAGUUGGUAAGGUAAUGGCUUACCAAGGCUACGAUCUGUAUCCGGUCUAAGAGGACGGUCGGACACACUGACACUGAAUAACGGGUC
rnacentral:rRNA from 1 species